AGGGUUUGAUUAUGGCUCAGGAUAAACGCUGGCGGCGCACAUAAGACAUGCAAGUCGAACGAACUUAACCAUUAGUUUACUAUUGGAGCGGUUAGUGGCGGACUGGUGAGUAACACGUAAGCAACCUGCCUAUCAGAGGGGAACAACAGUUAGAAAUGACUGCUAAUACCGCAUAUGCCUUAGAAUCACAUGGUUCAAAAGGGAAAGGAGCAAUCCGCUGAUAGAUGGGCUUGCGUCUGAUUAGCUAGUUGGUGGGGUAACGGCCUACCAAGGCGACGAUCAGUAGCCGAACUGAGAGGUUGAACGGCCACAUUGGGACUGAGAUACGGCCCAG
rnacentral:rRNA from 1 species